CCCCUAGACGUUCUGGGCUGCACGCGCGCUACAAUAAUACGCACAGCGAGUAUCACCGAGCUCGAAAGGGCAAGGUAAACAAUAGAAAAGGUACUGUAAUGGUUAUAGAUCCUUGUAAUUAUUGAUCUUCAACGAGGAAUUCCCAGUAAGUAUGUGUCAUCAUCACGCACUGAUUACGUCCCUGCCCUUUGUACACACCGCCCGUCGCUCCUACCGAUUGGGUGAGCCGAUGAAACUCUCGGAUGUAGGCUAUUCAUAGCCCGCAGAAGAGAUUUGAAUCGUAGCGCUUAGAGGAAGGAGAAGUCGUAACA
rnacentral:rRNA from 1 species